GGCCUGGUGGCGCAACGGUAGCGCAGUUGACUCCAGAUCAAAAGGUUGUGGGUUCAAAUCCCGUCCGGGUCA
rnacentral:tRNA from 1 species